GCCCGCAUAACUCAGUCGGUAGAGUGAUCGGCUUUUACUACGCAUCUAAAUAUACCAGUUGACCGAUAUGUCCAGAGUUCGAGCCUCUGUGUGGGCG